rnacentral:rRNA from 1 species
GACGAACGCUGGCGGCGUGCCUAAUACAUGCAAGUAGAACGCACAGUUUAUACCGUAGCUUGCUACACCAUAGACUGUGAGUUGCGAACGGGUGAGUAACGCGUAGGUAACCUGCCUGGUAGCGGGGGGUAACUAUUGGAAACGAUACCUAAUACCGCAUAAUAUUAAUUAUUGCAUGAUAAUUAAUUGAAAGGUUCAAUUGCACCACUACCAGAUGGACCUGCGUUGUAUUAGCUAGUAGGUGAGGUAACGGCUCACCCAAGCGAAGAUACAUAGCCGACCCGGAGGGGUGGACGGGCACACUUGGAACGGGGACCGGGCCCAGACUCCUCGGGAAGGCGCCGGAAGGGAACCUCGGCAAUGGAGGGAAGUCCGAACGAAGAAAGGCGCGGGAGUGAAGAAGGUUCUCGGAUCGUAAAGCUCUGUUGUAAGGGGAGAACGGGUGUGAGAGUGGAAAGUGCACGCUGUGACGGUAUCUUACCAGAAAGGCACGGCUAACUACGUG